UACCAGUUCCUGUGUGAUCACCAAAGUUAAGCAACAUUGAGUCUGAUCAGUACCUAGAUGGGUGACUGCUUGGGAAUAUCAGGUGCUGUAA
rnacentral:rRNA from 1 species